CUUCAGUCCUGGUAUGGGCUGUAGCAAGUACUGCUGCUGCUGUCCAUCCCCUCUGCCCACGUGAGUUCUCCUGCAUGCAGGUUCUGACAUCUCUUUCUACAGUGGUGGAGUCAGCCCUCCUUUUUGCUUGGGGACAUUCUCAGGUGCUGCAGAAACUUGCUGUGCCAUGGACAAGUUUAUUGUGAAAUCAGGAGGUUUCAUAGGGAGCCACACGGAGGCAACCGUGAGGGCAGAAGAAAAUGGAAAACAAAGACAAACAAACCAAAGAAGGAGGAUGAAGUAGAAGCCAUUCAUUCUUUCCAUGAACAUUGUUUGUGGAGGUCACUCUUGGGAGAUCUCUUCCUGCCGUCUCCUGCAGUAGACAGCCUGAGGAUGAAACAUGACUUGGAGCCUCACAUAUCUGUGAUAGAAUCAACAGAGCCUGCACACGCCAUUCUCCAAGCAACAGGGACCCAAAAGCUGAGGCUUGAAGGAGGUUGAAGGAGGAGCCAAAGGGAGGGUUUCUCUAACUUUCUGAGCGUUAAAGUCAAACUGCAAAGCUUUUAAGGUACGGAUGAAAGCACUUUUGCAGCAAUAUUCACUGAAAAAACCAAAUAGCCUGCUUUCUAAGAAACUUUUUUAUUAUUAUUAUUAUACUUUGAGUUUUAG
ensembl:lincRNA